rnacentral:rRNA from 1 species
UACAGAGGUCUCAACCGUUGUUCGGAUUCAUUGGGCGUAAAGGGUGCGUAGGCGGUCGCGUAAGUCGGAUGUGAAAUCUCAGGGCUCAACCCUGAAACUGCAUUCGAUACUGCGUGGCUAGGGUACUGGAGAGGAGACUGGAAUUUACGGGUGUAGCAGUGAAAUGCGUAGAUAUCGGUAAGGAAGACCAGUGGCGAAGGCGAGUCUCUGGACAGUUACCGACGCUGAGGCACGAAGGUCAGGGGAGCAAACGGG